CACCCCUGGCAAUGGGAAAAAGAGGCAGCACCUUGUUGUUGGUGGUGUUCUUAAAUCAGUCAGGGGCAGAGGGGAUGACAGUCCUUUGUUCAUCCUAGUUUGAUGCCUGGCUUGGUGGCCAAAGCCGUUUCAUGUCUAGGGCACAUUA